UCCCUGGUGGCUUAGAAGGUAAAGCGUCUGCCUGCAAUGCAGGAAUCUGGGUUUGAUCUCUGGGUAGGGAA
rnacentral:tRNA from 1 species